GACGAACGCUGGCGGCGUGCUUAACACUUGCCAGUCGAACGGAAAGGCCCUGCUUUUGUGGGGUGCUCGCGUGGCGAAAGGGUGAGUAACACGUGUGUAUCCUGCCCUUGACUUUGGGAUAACUUCCGGAAACUUGGGCUAAUACCGGAUAGGAGCUCCUGCUGCAUGGUGGGGGUUGGAAAGUUUCGGCGGUUGGGGCUGGACUCGCGGCUUAUCAGCUUGUUGGUGGGGUCGUGGCUUACCAAUGCUUUGACGGGUAGCCGGCCUGGGAGGGUGACCGGCCUAAUUGGGACUGAAAUACGGCCCAGACUCCUACGGGAGGCAUCAGUGGGGAAUAUUGCACAAUGGGCGGAAGCCUGAUGCAGCAACGCCGCGUGCGGGAUGACGGCCUUCGGGUUGUAAGCCGCUUUCGCCUGUGACGAAGCGUGAGUGACGGUAAUGGGUAAAGAAGCACCGGCUAACUACGUG
rnacentral:rRNA from 1 species